GACAGAGGGUGCAAGCGUUGUUCGGAAUCAUUGGGCGUAAAGCGCACGUAGGCGGCCGGGCAAGUCGGAUGUGAAAGCCCAGGGCUCAACCCUGGAAGUGCAUCCGAAACUGCUCGGCUUGAGUUCCGGAGAGGGUGGUGGAAUUCCCAGUGUAGAGGUGAAAUUCGUAGAUAUUGGGAGGAACACCGGUGGCGAAGGCGACCACCUGGACGGUAACUGACGCUGAGGUGCGAAAGCGUGGGGAGCAAACAGG
rnacentral:misc_RNA from 1 species